UUGGAGGGCAAGUCUGGUGCCAGCAGCCGCGGUAAUUCCAGCUCCAAUAGCGUAUAUUAAAGUUGUUGCAGUUAAAAAGCUCGUAGUUGAAUUUCGGGAUCAGAGUGUCGGUCGUGCCUCGGUACGCACUGGUAUUAUUGGUUCCUACCUUCUGAAGAACCGCGAUGUCAUUAAUUUGGUGUCGUGGGGAAUCAGGACUGUUACUUUGAAAAAAUUAGAGUGUUUAAAGCAGGCUUACGCUUGAAUACAUUAGCAUGGAAUAAUGAAAUAGGUCGUUUGAUUCUAUUUUGUUGGUUUCUAGGAUUGACGUAAUGAUUAAUAGGGAUAGUUGGGGGCAUUAGUAUUCAAUUGUCAGAGGUGAAAUUCUUGGAUUUAUUGAAGACUAACUACUGCGAAAGCAUUUGCCAAGGAUGUUUUCAUUAAUCAAGAACGAAAGUUAGGGGAUCGAAGACGAUCAGAUACCGUCGUAGUCUUAACCAUAAACUAUGCCGACUAGGGAUCGGAUGAUGUUAAUUUUUUAAUGACUCAUUCGGCGCCUUACGGGAAAC
rnacentral:rRNA from 1 species